GAUGAACGCUGGCGGCGUGCCUAAUACAUGCAAGUCGAGCGAACGGACGAGAAGCUUGCUUCUCUGAUGUUAGCGGCGGACGGGUGAGUAACACGUGGAUAACCUACCUAUAAGACUGGGAUCACUUCGGGAAACCGGUGCUAAUACCGGAUAAUAUUUUGAACCGCAUGGUUCAAAAGUGAAAGACGGCCUUGCUGUCACUUAUAGAUGGAUCCGCGCUGCAUUAGCUAGUUGGUAAGGUAACGGCUUACCAAGGCAACGAUGCAUAGCCGACCUGAGAGGGUGAUCGGCCACACUGGAACUGAGACACGGUCCAGACUCCUACGGGAGGCAGCAGUAGGGAAUCUUCCGCAAUGGGCGAAAGCCUGACGGAGCAACGCCGCGUGAGUGAUGAAGGUCUUCGGAUCGUAAAACUCUGUUAUUAGGGAAGAACAUAUGUGUAAGUAACUGUGCACAUCUUGACGGUACCUAAUCAGAAAGCCACGGCUAACUACGUG
rnacentral:rRNA from 1 species